ACGCUAGCGAUAGGCUUAACACAUGCAAGUCGAGGGGCAGCAUGGUCUUAGCUUGCUAAGACUGAUGGCGACCGGCGCACGGGUGCGUAACGCGUAUGCAACUUGCCUCACAGAGGGGGAUAACCCGUCGAAAGACGGACUAAUACCGCGUACACUCUAUGUUGGGCAUCCAAUGUAGAGGAAAUGAAAUUCGCUGUGAGAUAGGCAUGCGUCCCAUUAGCUAGUUGGUGAGGUAACGGCUCACCAAGGCGACGAUGGGUAGGGGAACUGAGAGGUUGAACCCCCACACUGGUACUGAGACACGGACCAGACUCCUACGGGAGGCAGCAGUGAGGAAUAUUGGUCAAUGGGCGAGAGCCUGAACCAGCCAAGUCGCGUGAAGGAUGACUGUCUUAUGGAUUGUAAACUUCUUUUAUACGGGAAUAACAAGAGCCACGUGUGGCUCCCUGCAUGUACCGUAUGAAUAAGCAUCGGCUAACUCCGUGCCAGCAGCCGCGGUAAUACGGAGGAUGCGAGCGUUAUCCGGAUUUAUUGGGUUUAAAGGGUGCGUAGGCGGCCUGUUAAGUCAGCGGUGAAAUCUAGGAGCUUAACUCCUAAAUUGCCAUUGAUACUGGCGGGCUUGAGUGUAGAUGAGGUAGGCGGAAUGCGUGGUGUAGCGGUGGAAUGCAUAGAUAUCACGCAGAACUCCGAUUGCGAAGGCAGCUUACUAAGGUACAACUGACGCUGAAGCACGAAAGCGUGGGUAUCAAACAGGAUUAGAUACCCUGGUAGUCCACGCAGUAAACGAUGAUAACUGGGCGUAUGCGAUAUACAGUAUGCUCCUAAGCGAAAGCGUUAAGUUAUCCACCUGGGGAGUACGCCGGCAACGGUGAAACUCAAAGGAAUUGACGGGGGCCCGCACAAGCGGAGGAACAUGUGGUUUA
rnacentral:rRNA from 1 species